rnacentral:misc_RNA from 1 species
CGCACAUUGCGCCCCUUGGUAUUCCAUGGGGCAUGCCUGUUCGAGCGUCAUUUGUACCUUCAAGCUUUGCUUGGUGAUGGGUGUUUGUCCAAUCUUCAGAUUAGACUCGCCUUAAAAUUAUUGGCAGCCGGCAUAUUGGCCUUUGGAGCGCAGCACAUUUUGCGAUCUAAGCCUGUAUACUGGUAUCCAUGAAGCCUCUUUAUCACUUUUGACCUCGGAUCAGGUAGGGAUACCCGCUGAACUUAA